ACGCAAGAAGAAGAACAAC
rnacentral:sRNA from 1 species